rnacentral:tRNA from 1 species
GCCUUCGUGGUGUAGUAGUCGGCAUGCUCGACGCGUAUUCGAAAGGUCCAUGGUUCGAGUCCCGGCGAGGGCA